GACGAACGCUGGCGGCGUGCUUAGCACAUGCAAGUCGAACGGAAAGGCCCUGCUUUUGUGGGGUGCUCGAGUGGCGAACGGGUGAGUAACACGUGAGUAACCUGCCCUUGACUUUGGGAUAACUUCAGGAAACUGGGGCUAAUACCGGAUAGGAGCUCCUACUGCAUGGUGGGGGUUGGAAAGUUUCGGCGGUUGGGGAUGGACUCGCGGCUUAUCAGCUUGUUGGUGGGGUAGUGGCUUACCAAGGCUUUGACGGGUAGCCGGCCUGAGAGGGUGACCGGCCACAUUGGGACUGAGAUACGGCCCAGACUCCUACGGGAGGCAGCAGUGGGGAAUAUUGCACAAUGGGCGGAAGCCUGAUGCAGCAACGCCGCGUGCGGGAUGACGGCCUUCGGGUUGUAAACCGCUUUCGCCUGUGACGAAGCGUGAGUGACGGUAAUGGGUAAAGAAGCACCGGCUAACUACGUG
rnacentral:rRNA from 1 species